AACAUUUCUAGCUUGCUAGAAGAUGACGAGUGGCGGACGGGUGAGUAAUGCUUGGGAACUUGCCUUUGCGAGGGGGAUAACAGUUGGAAACGACUGCUAAUACCGCAUAAUGUCUUCGGACCAAACGGGGCUUAGGCUCCGGCGCAAAGAGAGGCCCAAGUGAGAUUAGCUAGUUGGUAAGGUAACGGCUUACCAAGGCGACGAUCUCUAGCUGUUCUGAGAGGAAGAUCAGCCACACUGGGACUGGGACACGGCCCAGACUCCUACGGGAGGCAGCAGUGGGGAAUAUUGCACAAUGGGGGAAACCCUGAUGCAGCCAUGCCGCGUGUGUGAAGAAGGCCUUCGGGUUGUAAAGCACUUUCAGUUGUGAGGAAAAGUUAGUAGUUAAUACCUGCUAGCCGUGACGUUAACAACAGAAGAAGCACCGGCUAACUCCGUGCCAGCAGCCGCGGUAAUACGGAGGGUGCGAGCGUUAAUCGGAAUUACUGGGCGUAAAGCGCACGCAGGCGGUUUGUUAAGCUAGAUGUGAAAGCCCCGGGCUCAACCUGGGAUGGUCAUUUAGAACUGGCAGACUAGAGUCUUGGAGAGGGGAGUGGAAUUCCAGGUGUAGCGGUGAAAUGCGUAGAUAUCUGGAGGAACAUCAGUGGCGAAGGCGACUCCCUGGCCAAAGACUGACGCUCAUGUGCGAAAGUGUGGGUAGCGAACAGGAUUAGAUACCCUGGUAGUCCACACCGUAAACGCUGUCUACUAGCUGUGUGUG
rnacentral:rRNA from 1 species